rnacentral:rRNA from 1 species
UCUUAGCGUGGUUAAUUUAUUGACUGUUUCUUAUUUCUGUUAUAAGUAUAAAGAUAUUUUAAGCAAAAAAUUGGGCUUUGUGUGAUCAAGUAAAAUAAUGAAAUUUUCUUUUAAUUAUAGUUUAGUAGUACCGUAGGGGAUAGAAAUUCUAGUUAGCUUAAAGAAAAAAUUAAAGUUUGUACCUUUUGUAUCAGGGACUUUCAAAAUACUCGGUUUAUUGGCCGUGGUCUCGAAGUAAGGCGGGUGAGUGAGUUAAGUCUGUUUAUGUAGAACAAUAAAAUAUUAAUAACUUGCUGGUAAUGAGAUGUUAGCCGUUCCUUAUAUAUCUAGUUUUUUCCGAAAAAAGUUUAAUUUGGGCUCUUAUUUAAAGAAGUAGGAGACGUAUCUUAAGAGGGAAGAGCUUCUUAGGGCUUGAAGAUGGCAAAAAAUUCUUAUUUCUUUUGUCUAGGCUUAAAAUCAGCCAUGUUUUUAUAUCGUUAUAGGUAAUAAGAAGUUAUUGAUUUAUUUCUAUUUUGCCUUUUGUUGUAGUAGGAUAAAAUUUGUUUUGGCUUUUAAUAUAAAGUUACAUUGAUUGUAUUAGUAGGUUGUGGUGUGUCAGUUAUUUAAUUUUUAAUUCUUAUUCGAAUUUUACAUUGUAGGCGCUGUUAAGGUUAAAGAAUUCGGCAAAUGUUGCUUCUGCCUGUUUAUCAAAAACAUGUCUGUGCGGGUGUUGAUGUNCAGUCUGGCCUGCCCCCUGAGAUUUUAAAGGGCCGCGGUAUUUGGACCGUGCUAAGGUAGCAUAAUAAAUAGUCUUUUAAUUGAAGUCUAGUAUGAAUGGUCGGACAUGAAGUAAGCUGUUUCAGCCUUAACAACUAAAUUUUACCUUUAAGUGAAAAGGCUUAGAUUGGAUGGUGGGACGAUAAGACCCUAUAAAGCUUUACACUGUGUCUAUUGGUCUGUGGGUCUAAGGUCUCCAAUCCCUGUUAGGCAGAGCGUUUCGUUGGGGCGACGGGAAUAAAAAUAGUAACUGUUUUUUACAUAAAAAUAUAUGUAUAUAGGUGUAUUGAUCCUUUUUAGAGAUUAUAAGAUUUAAGUUACUUUAGGGAUAACAGCGUAAUUUCUCUUGAGAGUUCAUAUCGACAGAUGUAGUUGCGACCUCGAUGUUGAAUUAAAGUGUCCCCAAGGUGUAGCAGUUUUGGUGGUAGGUCUGUUCGACCUUUAAAAUUUU